UAACAAGGAUUCCCCUAGUAACUGCGAGUGAAGCGGGAAAAGCUCAAAUUUAAAAUCUGGCGGUCUUUGGCCGUCCGAGUUGUAGUCUGGAGAAGCGUCUUCCGCGUUGGACCGUGUACAAGUCUCUUGGAACAGAGCGUCAUAGAGGGUGAGAAUCCCGUCUUUGACACGGACUACCAAUGCUUUGUGAUGCGCUCUCAAAGAGUCGCGUUGUUUGGGAAUGCAGCGCAAAAUGGGAGGUGAAUUCCUUCUAAAGCUAAAUAUUGGCGAGAGACCGAUAGCGAACAAGUACCGUGAGGGAAAGAUGAAAAGCACUUUGGAAAGAGAGUUAAACAGUACGUGAAAUUGCUGAAAGGGAAACGCUUGAAGUCAGUCGCGUCGUCCGGAACUCAGCCUUGCUUCGGCUUGGUGCACUUUCCGGUUGACGGGCCAGCAUCGAUUUUGACCGCUGGAAAAGGGCUGGAGGAAUGUGGCACCUUCGGGUGUGUUAUAGCCUUCAGUCGCAUACAGCGGUUGGGAUCGAGGAACGCAGCGCGCCUUAUGGCUGGGGUUCGCCCACAUUCGUGCUUAGGAUGCUGGCAUAAUGGCUUUAAACGAC
rnacentral:rRNA from 1 species